AUGCCUGUAUAAACAAAUUCAAACUGUGAAACUACGAAUGGCUCAUUCAAGCAGUUAUAGUUUGUUUGAUGGUAUCUACUACUCGGAUAACCAUAGUAAUUCUUGAGCUAAUACGUAGAACAAAACCACGACAUGUGGAAGGGUAUGCAUUUAGUUACAUAAAAGGUCGACGUGGGCUCUGCCAAUUAUUGUGAUGAUUCGUGAUAACUCGACGGAUCGUAUGGCCAUCGUGCCGGCGAUGCAUUAUUCACAUUUCUACCCUAUCAACCUGAAAUCCAAUCAUUUCUAACUUUUCAAAUAUGAAGUUUAUCGAUUGCUUGCAUCCUUGGAAUGAAAAAAACCACCAAGUGUUGAAAUAUAAGUACGGAG
rnacentral:ncRNA from 1 species